CCUACGGGUGGCAGCAGUGGGGAAUAUUGCACAAUGGGCGCAAGCCUGACCCAGCAACGCCGCGUGAAGGAAGACGGCUUUCGGGUUGUAAACUUCUUUUAUUGAGGACGAAACAAAUGACGGUACUCAAUGAAUAAGCCACGGCUAACUACGUGGCAGCAGCCGCGGUAAUACGUAGGUGGCAAGCGUUAUCCGGAUUUACUGGGUGUAAAGGGCGUGUAGGGGGGACUGCAAGUCAGAUGUGAAAACCAUGGGCUCAACCCAUGGCCUGCAUUUGAAACUGUAGUUAUUGAGUGAUGGAGAGGCAGGCGGAAUUCCCGGUGUAGCGGUGAAAUGCGUAGAGAUCGGGAGGAACACCAGUGGCGAAGGCGGCCUACUGGGCUUUAACUGACGCUGAGGCACGAAAGCGUGGGUAGCAAACAGGAUUAGAUACCCGUGUAGUC
rnacentral:rRNA from 1 species